CCUACGGGUGGCAGCAGUGGGGGAUAUUGGACAAUGGGGGAAACCCUGAUCCAGCGAUGCCGCGUGAGGGAAGAAGGUUUUCGGAUUGUAAACCUCUGUGGAGGGGGACGAUAAUGACGGUACCCCUUUAGGAAGCCACGGCUAACUACGUGCCAGCAGCCGCGGUAAUACGUAGGUGGCGAGCGUUGUCCGGAAUUACUGGGUGUAAAGGGAGUGUAGGCGGGAAAGCAAGUCAGAAGUGAAAACUAUGGGCUUAACCCAUAGCCUGCUUUUGAAACUGUUUUUCUUGAGUACUGGAGAGGCAGACGGAAUUCCUAGUGUAGCGGUGAAAUGCGUAGAUAUUAGGAGGAACACCAGUGGCGAAGGCGGUCUGCUGGACAGCAACUGACGCUGAGGCGCGAAAGCGUGGGGAGCAAACAGGAUUAGAUACCCUGGUAGUC
rnacentral:rRNA from 1 species